AUGGAACAGCCCAUCUACUCGGAAGAUGUAUCGUCUGGUAGGAAUUCCACUGACAUAUCCAAUUAUAUUUUCUGCCAAAAAUGCCUUGGUACUGGUCACGCGCGUAAUCAAUGCAACAAUAGAAUCAGGUGCCGCGUUUGUUACCAAUAUAAUCAUAUCACCAGAUUUUGUUUCAACAAGAAUAACAGACUUAAUGCUUAUCGGGUCAAACAGAACCAGGAUCCUCCACCUGAUAUAUCUGAAGCCCGCCUAGACCCCUCGGCUUCUCCCCUCGGUCUUUCUCCCUCUGCUCCUCCUUCCACCGCUGCAAACCCCGAGAUAGCCUGCUACCCUUGCAACCCGCUCCCCCACCUUCCUCCCGGCACUACGAUCAUCCCUCCUGGCCCUCUCCGUGCUCGUCGUGGAUAUGUGGUUCUUGGAGGUGACCUCCCGAUGGUAUGCGAUGAGUGGGCAAUCGCCACACUCGUCCCCGAGGUAUCUGCUGAGGAGUUUCAUGGCGCCAUUGCCCUGAUCACGAACUACCUGGAGGGACGUGGAUGGCACAUCAACUACACAUCCCGUUGUGGUAUUGGUACUGCUCUGGUUCAGUUUACAACUGCCUGUUCGCAUGAUAUUGCUGUCAGUCUUAGUCAGUUUCAGAUUGGGGACUCUGUUCUUAGAAUUAGCAAACAGGAUAGAGGUCUUAAUUACCGCAGCAUAACUUUCACUCAUGAUGUUUGGGUCCUACUCAUGAACUAUCCAUUAGAAUGUUGGGAUGAUGGGGUGAUUAGCCGCACUGUUUCACCAUAUGGUCGCUUUCUGGUCUGGAAAAAGAUCCAAGGGACAAAAUCAAGGGUUAUUGUUAAGCUCAGGGUCAUGAAUGUUGACACUAUUUCAGUUAGCUUAGUAGUACUGAGGAAUCUUGAUGAUGUUGGCUAUGGUGACUCAUGGACUUGCCCAACUUAUAUUCUGUCAAGGGAACUGAUUGGUCAGCAAGAGGGUGAUGAGGAUCCAUUUCCACCUGAUGGUGGAAAUCCUCACCCCCUUCCUCAUGUUCAUGGAGGUUUCUGGCAUGAUGAGGUUUCAGGGAAUAUACCUAUGGAUCAGGUUGUUAUUAAUCCUCAUAAUGAGAACCUUGGUGCACCUUAUGAGGAUAUUCAUGUUGUCCAUAAUGAUAAUGUGAACCAUGCUGCUGAUUAUCUGGUUGCUGUUACUGAACCUAUUACUGUUGAUCAUGUUGAGGCACCUGUUUUGGAGGAAGUAAGGGCACCUGUCCAGAUACACUCCAGUACUCUCUAUGUUGAACCUCAUGAGACACUUGGGCCUGAUUACAUCACAAUUAAUCCUAUAUCUUCAUAG
rnacentral:rRNA from 1 species